CCACCUAAAGUGUGGGUUCCCUCCCACCUCUGGGUGGCUUUUUGGUUUUAUUUCUGUUUUGUUUUUUCUCGAUUUAUGGCAGAUAUGUGGAUGUCUGUGGAUGGUUCUUUAAUCUUUUUUUUUUUUUUUCAGUUCGUUUUGUGAUGAGUUUAUUACAUGCAGGUUUUGACUUCAUAGAUCAACAGCUCUGUUCUUCUGUCUAGACUAGUGAUUGGUUGUCGGAGGCAACUCGCAGAGUUAUAUCUCAAAAGGCGUGAUUGGAUCGCUAAAGAGCACAUCUUCCACACCUUUAGCCAGCGUCAUCUUCAAUGAGAGAUACAAAAGAUGGAGAGAUUAGAAGAGACAAAAACAAGAAGAGAGAGGGAAAGAAAGCAGCAAAGGAGAGAUAAAGGGAGGAUAAAGGAAUGCACAUAUAAAGAUAAAUAAAAUAGAAUCCUAGAAGUGUAUAUAAAUUCUUAUUUGUACUAGCUUUAGAGAAAAAAGAAAGCGACAAAAAAAAGAGAGUAAGAGAUCGAAAAGAUGACGGUUUUCAAGGUUGAGAUUUCUUAGCCCAUCGGUGGAGGAAUCCUACCCUGUCCAUGGUAAAGAGUUUCAUUCAAUUUUGAUGAUUCUCUUGCUGUGAUUUCUGUAUAGUUUUAGUUUUGGUCUUAUGAUCUGUAGUGAGGUGUUUGGUUGGGAUUCGAUUUUGUUCGUGUUCGGUGUGUGAGCAGUGCAAUUGUGUCUUUGGUUGCAUGGUUUAUUUUUACGCCUCAAAUCUUGUUGUUGAAGGUGGUGCGAAUGAUAGAUUACUCGGCGCUGGAGUGCGAAUCUGCCUCCUUCUUGCGGCCCCAUAGUUAUAUGAAAUUGAAAACACCAUGACAUCAUUUCUUCACUUUGGAUUUCAAUUGGCGAUUCUGGUCUUGAGUCUGUGCGUAUGGUUGUCAGCAGUCUCAUUCUGGCGAGGUAGAGGGAUGGAGCAAUGGAUUGUUCAAAAAAAUUCUUGAGAUGAGCUAGAUUCUAUUCGGGUUUAGGCUGGGAUUUGAGUUUAUUUUGCUACUAGGCUAGUUUGGCUUUGGAAUCAGUUGUCUACUUGGACUUUAAGUGCAAUUAGCCUUGUAUGAUAAAAAAAAAUUA